rnacentral:rRNA from 1 species
AUUGAACGCUGGCGGUAUGCUUAACACAUGCAAGUCGAACGGUAGCAGGCCUUCGGGCGCUGACGAGUGGCGGACGGGUGAGUAACGCGUAGGAACCUGCCUCAUAGUGGGGGACAACGUGGGGAAACUCACGCUAAUACCGCAUACGCCCUACGGGGAAAGCGGGGGAGUCUUCGGACCUCGCGCUAUGAGAUGAGCCUGCGUUAGAUUAGCUAGUUGGUAGGGUAAAGGCCUACCAAGGCGACGAUCUAUAGCUGGUCUGAGAGGACGAUCAGCCACACUGGGACUGAGACACGGCCCAGACUCCUACGGGAGGCAGCAGUGGGGAAUAUUGGACAAU